AACUAAGGGGUUUGUUUGUAAUUACACUUUACCUUAGGGAUGUAGUUGUAAUUACCCUUGCAAUUUUUCACAGAAAAUGGGCUGGGCUGCUAUAAAUAGGUGAAAUGUAUUGAGGCCGAACCGGUUGUUAAAUAAGGGAGGCCCAAAUUAGAGCACGAAUUUUGGAGGGAUACAAUCAGAAAAGAGGAACUUGAAAUUGCUUCUUCAGAUAAACAAUUACAGCAUUAAUGGGAAGCAAAGCCGUUCAGUUUAUGCUUGGAGCGGCGCCACCGCAAUCGGCGCGGCGGCUCUUCAGUUUCAGAAAUAGUGUUCCUCCGGCAGCGGCUUCGGUUAAUAAACGGUUUUAUGGGGCGGAAUCGAGUCUGGAGCCACCAGAUGUUCCGCGAUUAGCAGAAACCGCUCGGAUUUCCCUCACCCCUCAGCAGGUUGAAGAUUAUUCUCCCAGAAUCCGGAAAGUGGUAGACUGGUUUGGGCAACUCCAGGCUGUUGACCUCCAGAGCAUCGAACCAGCCAUAAGAGCAGAUACUGAAGGAGAUAAUUUGCGUGAUGACGUGCCUGCAAUAUUUAAUACUAGGGAUGCUAUGAUAGCAGCUGUCCCAACUUUUGAAGAUUCUUAUGUAAAAGUUCCGAAAGUCUUGAACAAGAAGUGAUUAGAAGAUGAUGCACCUUAGUAAUAUUCUUCACUCUUCAGUAUUACCAGAUAGAGAUUUACAGGAAAUGCUUUUUCGUCGAGUCUCAGCCAGUGCUUCAAUAACAAGUCUUGGGCAUGCCAGUUGAUAGAUGUGAUCAGGAGAACAGAGGAUGGUUACAGGAAGUUUCCUCUUCCCUUUUCUUCAGUUUCUUAAAAUGAUGGUGUAUUUUACUAGAGGUCAAAUUUCCUGAAUAUUGGAUAAAUUCAAGGUAAUUUCCUAAACCUGAAAAUCGUGGGGUCAAAAUUGUGGAAAUUUUCAAGGAUGUAACAAGGUCCGUUCUAUGUCAAUCCCUCUUUUAUUAUAAUAGCUCCUCAUGUUUAAUGCUGUAACUCACAGGAAAUACAUACAUUGCCUCGUUAAACCUGUUAUCUCCAGGAUUCUUUCAGGAAGUUUAACAAUCUGAAGAAAGUUGAAGAAUAGUCAUAGUGAAAUGACAAUUCCAUU